AAACAAACUAGACAAGAUGGCUGAGUGCACGGAGCGCACCGCAAAUUCCUUCACCCGAGCCGCGAAGGAAAUUAGCAACUUUAACACCGGCUGCUUCCAAUAAUUCCGGAGGUGUUCGGAAAUUGAAUAGAGGUAAGCUGAGCCGGCUGCUUCCAAUAAUUCCGGAUUAAGGGACGGGUACGGAAAUUGAAUAGAGCCGGCUGCUUCCAAUAAUUCCGGAGGUGUUCGGGAAUAGAGUGGCAACCACUUACGCCAGGGAGGCAAUUGAACACCUAGACCUGGACUCAUCAACUCAAGGGCCAGGAUCCACGGCUGUGCUUCUUUUCGAAGGAAGGCAUGACACCACCAAAGCAACCAAGGAAGUCAUCAAUCACCACCAACUGACGAGUUUCGUUUGUGGUUCGACACAUGGACGGAGCAUUUGUGUUUUGCUAAAUUUUGCUAAUUAUUGGGGAAUUUCCCUAAACUUUCACGCGGCCACCAGUUUUCACUCUUCCACAGGCCUUAAGGGUAACCCACAUUAGAUCUGCUUGCGUUGCGUUGUCGUAAAUUUUAUAGUUAGACAAUAUAUUUAGCUGUCACUUUGCUGCAUCGCGCCAGAUCCGGAUCUAAUGUGGGUGGCCCUGUAGAUUUGGAAACUUGAUUAUGUAAACACUAGGCAUCUUUUUCUGGUAGUUCGUUCAAAAAUGAUACAACAAUCGUCAAGCUCGCUGUAACGUCACCUAGUGCCUCGUCACCUACAAAUUGGCGCCUAAGUCAGUGGUCUAAUAACUCUUAGCGCGCUAAUGGCAUAGUUCCCCUGCCGCAUAGAGAGUUGCCACAAUGACAUUAGGUUAGCUAAGGUCAGUUAACUGACUGGUGGGAAACGGGAGCUUACGCAAUGACUAUUCUGUAUGCAUUUAAGAGAUAGUCUACCAGAAUGGAUGAUUUUUUUUGUACAAUUUUAUGUUUUCUGAUUGUGCAAAACAUGAGAAUUAACUUUUCCAAUGCUUUCAAUUGUACAAAGCAUUAGUGCUAGAAACAUGAUCUUGUAAACACUACACACCUUAACUGUUAGUUUGAUUAAAAAAUGCUGCAACAAUCGUCAAGCUCGCUGUAAUGUCACCAAGUGCCUCGUCACCUACAAAUUGGCGCCUAUGUCAGUGGUCUAAUAACUCUUAGCGCGCUAAUGGCAUAGUUCCCCUGCCGCAUAGAGAGUUGCCGCAAUGACAUUAGGUUAGCUAAGGUCAGUUAACUGACUGGUGGGAAACGGGAGCUUCAGCAUUGACAGUUAUGUACGCAUUUUUAUGAUGUUAUCUAACAACAAUGGUGUGUAGUGUUUACACGAUUAUGUUACUAAUUCUAAUGUGUUGUAAAUAUAAUUGAAAGCAUUUGAAAAGUAAGAUUCUAGUGUUUGUACUUCUUAAAACAUAGUAAACAUCUACAUUUUAAAACAUUCAAACAACGUUUACUUUAAACGUUUUGUACAUCUGAAAACAUCAGAGAACAACAAACAGGAAGUACAAUUGAAAACAUCCGAACAACGUUUAGUUCUAACGUUGUGUACAUCCGAAAACAUCCAAAAAACGUUUGGUUCUAGCAUCGGGAAACAUCUACAUAAGAAAACAUUAGAAUACAUUUACAUAUAAAAACAUCCGAACAACGUUUAGUUCUAACGUUUUUUACAUCCGAAAACAUCCAAAAACGUUUGGUUCUAACAUCAGGAAAC